UACGUAGGGGGCAAGCGUUGUCCGGAAUCAUUGGGCGUAAAGCGCGCGUAGGCGGCCCCGUAAGUCCGCUGUGAAAGUCAAAGGCUCAACCUUUGAAUGCCGGUGGAUACUGCCGGGCUAGAGUCCGGAAGAGGCGAGUGGAAUUCCUGGUGUAGCGGUGAAAUGCGUAGAUAUCUGGAGGAACACCGGUGGCGAAGGCGGCAUCCUGGACCGAUACUGACGCUGAGGAGCGAAAGCCAGGGGAGCAAACGGG
rnacentral:rRNA from 1 species